UUUGUUCUUCCUCUWUUUUUUUUUUGUCUUUUGACACAAAAGUUGAGAAAUGAGAUUCUGUUUUUUAUUGGUUGGUUGUUGUGAGUCAGAAUGACUGGUGUUUUUGGCCAAACUGUAUAAAAAGAAGCAUCAGAUCCAAUCCUCUACUGAAGACCUUCAGCUUCAGCUCACAUCCAUCUCUGRCAGAGAAAAGACUCAUCAGCAAAGACAAGAUGAAGAUUGUUCUGCUGAUCACCAUCAUCUGCAGUUCUGCCUUCACUCUGCACCCGGAAAAACUAUGUCCUGUCACCCAGACGGGCAACACUAGAUUCAACCAGUUUAAUAAGAAUCACAUCAUUAAGACCAACUUUAAAACAAACUCAGUUCAAGAAUGGAAUUUACGCCUGAAAGAUUUGGGACGCGAACACACAUAUUUUCAGACCUUCAUAAAGAAGGCGAAUCGACCUGCUGUUGUGAAGAUCUGCAACGGUGAUGGUGUACACCAGGAUGGCGACUUGUUUACCAGUAUUUCACCAAUAUCGGUGUAUAAUGUAAGAGUUACCAGAGGCUCAGUUACUGAAGCCCCAAAAGCAACACAACAAUAUGUGACUGUGUCUUGUGAGACUGUUAGAAAACACUUCUGUCCUGUUCAUAUUCAAAGAACCCAAAGUAAUCCACCACUCAGAAAUGGGGUCCCCCAGUCCCAAUCUUCAGACGAGUGACUUCCACUCUCAGUUUUUUUUUCUUACUGGGCUCAGUAAUAUUGAGUAAAAMUAUUGCAGUAAAUUUGAAUGUGCCAAACAUCAAACAAAAAAGAAAAUUUCUUUAAAAUUACAUCGCUAUUAAAAAGACAGUUUGAUGGAGACUUUUUAAAACCCGAAUAAUGUUUUUGCUGCAAGCCGUGCAAAAUAAAUAAAAGCAACAUUUUUAUUUGAACACUUUUUGUUCCUAAGAACAGUUUGUGCUACAUUUCUUGCAUUUUUUUUUGCUUUGUGCUCUGAUAAAUAAAUUUUGUUAUCAAAUAAAUGCUUGARUCAUGAAUGAA